rnacentral:rRNA from 1 species
UACGUAGGGUGCAAGCGUUAAUCGGAAUUACUGGGCGUAAAGCGUGCGCAGGCGGUUUUGUAAGACAGAGGUGAAAUCCCCGGGCUCAACCUGGGAACUGCCUUUGUGACUGCAAAGCUUGAGUGCGGCAGAGGGGGAUGGAAUUCCGCGUGUAGCAGUGAAAUGCGUAGAUAUGCGGAGGAACACCGAUGGCGAAGGCAAUCCCCUGGGCCUGCACUGACGCUCAUGCACGAAAGCGUGGGGAGCAAACAGG